AAAAUAAAAGUUUGCGUUUUUUCUCCCAAAUCCCGCACGGCUGCAAGCGUGAUUUUCUUCUCCGGUGGCAUGAUCUUCUUCUCCGGCUGCAGGCAAUCUUCUUCUCCGGUCCCAAAUCAGGCACAGCUCUAAGGCAGGCAUGACUCUAACUUAAGGGGCAAGCGAUCUUCUUCUCUGGUCCCAAAUCACGCACGACUCUAAGGCACCCAACGCUCCGGCUUAAGGCGCACGCGAUCUUCUUCUCCGGAGUUCUUUCCACGAUCCACCGAACAAGAUCAAGUUUAGAGUAUCGAUGUAGACCAAAUAGUUAUGGAACACUAUCAAGUAACUGGCACACCAGAAGGUUCUGUAUCUAAACAUGCACCUUUCACUCCUGUCUCUAGAAGUUACAUAGGACACCCUCGUGAAGACACAUUGCCACUGAAACUCUGUGAGUUAUGUAUUCAUGGCUCCAAGGUAAAAUCUUUAGUGCAACACAAGCUUUUUGGUUACUAGUUUAUACAUUCUUCAAGGUAUUGGCAUGAACUAUGCAGCUAGGUUAGUGCCCAGGAGCUUCAGUUCAUUUGCAGCAGAUGAAAGAUAGGCUCAUUACUGUCUCAACUGAACUUCUUGAUAAUGCUUUUGAGCUUUGUCCUGAACACUACAAAAAUCUUAAUCAGGAGCAGUUUGUCCUUGUAUACAUGUACUUGAAUGAUUUGCUACAUGAGAACUCUUUUCUCCUUAAUGAAUAUUUUUUGUUGCCCCUAAUAUUUGUGCCAGUUUACAUCUCAAAAAUAAGAUUCAGCAUCUUGAGAAAGACCUUUCCCUUUCAAAUCAAGAUGAAGAAAGACAGAGAUCAUCUUUCGCGGCAUCAACAACUACUUCAAGGAAUUUUCAACUUGAGAGGCCCUCAAGUAUGACAGAUCCUGUCAACUUUAACUCCCAGGCUUACAUAAGAAAUGAACCAGGAGAUACUAUGACUUGGAGCUCACCUACUCCAUCCUAUUAUGCAAAUCAAUUUGGGACUACAUCUGCAGACAGACAAGUAUUUACUCCAAAGCUUCUUGACAUUAAUUACAUUGAAGGAUCUGGAGAUAAAAAAUGAAAAAGUUUAGACUUUCCAUGGACAAAGAAAUUUGAGGCUAACAACAGAAAAGUGUUCGGUAAUCACUCAUUUUGCCCCAAUCAAAGAGACGUGAUCAAUGCUACACUGAGUGGUUGUGAUGUCUUUGUUUUAAUGCCAACUGGUGGUGGAAAGAGUUUGACAUACCAGGUGUCCUCAAGAGUACUGAGAAGAAUGCCGACAAGCCUAAAAAGUGGAGAGACUUUAACAAA